CUUAAGGUCACUGAAAUGUACCUGUUCCUUCAACAGAACUCUGCCAAGAACGCUUUGCAGUUCUAGAAAGUUCUGAGUGUCAUGACAGAUCUCGCCAAAGAACACCAGCAUCAGCAUGUUCCCCGUAUGCAAACCCAAGAGGCAAUUUCACCGGGUCCAUAAGUCCUUAAAAACUUCUGCUGAAGAUCAUCCAGUUCAGCAGGCAGAGGGAUAUUCAACUCCUGAUUCAGAGCCAAUGCCUCAAAACAGUCCUCCAGCUUCUGAAAAGCAGGCCUGAAGGAGACAGGAAGAGGAAAGAGUUAAUCUCAGGUGAAUGAAGACAGUAAUGAAGACUAAACCACUAACAGAUGAUAUACAGUCCUUCCUAGAAGCAAGAGGAAAGGAAAAAGGGGAUUUUAAAAUCAGGACGCACUGUAUC